UNCACAGUGAGCUCCAGGACAGCCAGGG
rnacentral:piRNA from 1 species